GCUGGGCGUGGUGGCACGCACCUGUAAUCCCAGCUACUAGGGAGGCUGAGGCAGGAGAAUUGCUUGAACCCGGGAGGCAGAGGUUGCAGUGAGCCAAGAUGGUGCCACUGCACUCCAGCCAGGGUGACAAAAGCGAAAUUCCUUCUCAAAAAAAAAAAAAAAAAAAAAAAUCAAAACAGCCUUUUUUUUGUUUUUGUUUUUGUUUUUGAGAUGGAGUCUUGCUCCUUCACCUGGCUGGAAUGCAGUGGUGUGAUCUCAGCUCACUGCAACCUCCGCCUCCCGGGUUCAAGCAAUUCUCCUGCCUCAG
rnacentral:SRP_RNA from 1 species